rnacentral:rRNA from 1 species
GACGAACCGUGCGAACGUUGUUCGGAAUCACUGGGCUUAAAGGGUGCGUAGGCGGGUUGUCCAGUCUGGGGUGAAAUCCCACGGCUCAACCGUGGAAUUGCCUCAGAUACUGACGACCUCGAGUGAGGUAGGGGCGAGCGGAACUGUGGGUGGAGAGGUGAAAUGCGUUGAUAUCUACAGGAACUCCGGUGGCGAAGGCGGCUCGCUGGACCUCUUCUGACGCUGAGGCACGAAAGCUAGGGGAGCAAACGGG